ACGGCGGAGAGCAGAGAGGGAGCGCGCCUUGGCUCGCUGGCCUUGGCGGCGGCUCCUCAGGAGAGCUGGGGCGCCCACGAGAGGAUCCCUCACCCGGACCACCUCCUCUCCAUGCUGAGCUGCUGCCAAGGGGCCUGCUGCCCAUCUACACCUCACGAGGGCACUAGGAGCACGGUUUCCUGGAUCCCACCAACAUACAAAGCAGCCACUCACUGACCCCCAGGACCAGGAUGGCAAAGGAUGAAGAGGACCGGAACUGACCAGCCAGCUGUCCCUCUUACCUAAAGACUUAAACCAAUGCCCUAGUGAGGGGGCAUUGGGCAUUAAGCCCUGACCUUUGCUAUGCUCAUACUUUGACUCUAUGAGUACUUUCCUAUAAGUCUUUGCUUGUGUUCACCUGCUAGCAAACUGGAGUGUUUCCCUCCCCAAGGGGGUGUCAGUCUUUGUCGACUGACUCUGUCAUCACCCUUAUGAUGUCCUGAAUGGAAGGAUCCCUUUGGGAAAUUCUCAGGAGGGGGACCUGGGCCAAGGGCUUGGCCAGCAUCCUGCUGGCAACUCCAAGGCCCUGGGUGGGCUUCUGGAAUGAGCAUGCUACUGAAUCACCAAAGGCACGCCCGACCUCUCUGAAGAUCUUCCUAUCCUUUUCUGGGGGAAUGGGGUCGAUGAGAGCAACCUCCUAGGGUUGUUGUGAGAAUUAAAUGAGAUAAAAGAGGCCUCAGGCAGGAUCUGGCAUAGAGGAGGUGAUCAGCAAAUGUUUGUUGAAAAGGUUUGACAGGUCAGUCCCUUCCCACCCCUCUUGCUUGUCUUACUUGUCUUAUUUAUUCUCCAACAGCACUCCAGGCAGCCCUUGUCCACGGGCUCUCCUUGCAUCAGCCAAGCUUCUUGAAAGGCCUGUCUACACUUGCUGUCUUCCUUCCUCACCUCCAAUUUCCUCUUCAACCCACUGCUUCCUGACUCGCUCUACUCCGUGGAAGCACGCUCACAAAGGCACGUGGGCCGUGGCCCGGCUGGGUCGGCUGAAGAACUGCGGAUGGAAGCUGCGGAAGAGGCCCUGAUGGGGCCCACCAUCCCGGACCCAAGUCUUCUUCCUGGCGGGCCUCUCGUCUCCUUCCUGGUUUGGGCGGAAGCCAUCACCUGGAUGCCUACGUGGGAAGGGACCUCGAAUGUGGGACCCCAGC
ensembl:lncRNA MEG3 maternally expressed 3